UCAUUUUUAAGUAUUUCACAAUUUGAAAAUUUAUCCCAACCCAUGCAAACGGUUGUAUUUCAUUUAAUUUCUCAUUUAAGCUUAUGAUUUCCAUAAACAUUUUGCUCAUGCCAUCAAAUAAUACUCGAUGACACCUUGAUCAGAGGCAUCCAACCGAUCCCACCAAAGCUGUAAAAAUUUCGUAUACACGUAAAACAUAUUUUUAGUUUGAGAAAACACAACCGUUCCUUUACGUUGGCUGAGUUCAUCAUCACGAGGUGGUUCGGCGUGACGUGAACUCUAUCCAUACCUCAAGAGAUACCCUACGCGCUUCUCCAACCGAGGUACAUAUAUUUAUCUAGAUUAUGUGCCCCUCUAAUAGGCUGGUCCAUAGAAUCCGCCCACUGCAGCAAGCUAAACCCACCAUAUAAUAAAAUUCAACAACAUAAUAUGAUAAUUAUUGUAAUUCACAGCCUUUUAAGGCUAAAUACAUAUUUUAUACAUUUCAACACAAAUAUCAAUUCAGCCAUUCAUGCAAAUAUUGUCAUAAGCCAUUCGAUUUCAAAUUAUAAAUUUACAAUAUAACAAGUGGUCUCCAAUUACUCUAUUUUUCAAAAUCAUUAUUCGAUUUCAAGACAAUUUAUAAAAUCCUUUCAUGUAAAUACAUUUUGUUUGUAAAACACAAAGAUUUACCAUUUAAACUCAUUUUCAUAAAAUUUCACCAAAACUGAAUAAAAACAUACUUUAGAUAAUAAAAAUGAUGGUAAGGUUACUCACAAUGUCCAGAGUGGGGAUUUUUGAAAUACUCAGACUACUGGUCUUCGGGUACAAUUCCCUUACCUUUAUCGAAGGACUCACCACUUUGACAUAGUACAAAAUCGAGAAAUUCACCACAUUUGUACUAAAUUGAAAUUAAACUAAUUUAGACUACUAAUGCAUGAUAUGGAAUGCAAAAGGUCUAAAUUUUACCUAAACACCGUAUUGAUCUAUUUCGAUCUUUUACCCGAUAAAUUGAAAUACGCAUCCAAUUUAGCUCCAAUUGAUCCCAUUUCUUUUUCUAAUGCUUCAAAUCACCAAUGUCCAGCCAAAUAAUCCAAAAUCAGCAAAGCCACAUUCAUAUUCCUUCUUGGAAAAAUUCGGCCAGAAUGGUACAUCAUUGUCACAAUUUUUCCUACUUGAUUUUCUUUCCAUAAUUCAUUAAUUUCCAUAUCAAAAACCAUGAUUUCAUAAUCAAAUAACCUAAAAUAACAUCACAUUCUUCCUCACCAUUGACUUGAAAAUUCAGCUAAGGCUAGGUAAUGGGAAAAAUGAAUGUUUUUCUACAUAUUUUGUUUACUAACAUGCUAAACUAACACUAAACACUAACAUAUAUCAAAAUCAAAUCAAUCCAACAAUUUUCUCUCUCUAGACCCAUAUGACCAGCCAUGAAAACAUGCAAUUUAAUCAUGAAAAAUAAGGAGAAAUGCUUGGGCAAAAGAAAACUUAAGCUUAAUAGAAAAAAUCUUACAUUUUUCACUUAAUUUCCUUGAAAAUUCACACUUUUUCUUUGAUUUUCUCUCUCUAGGGUUUGGUUUUGUUUUCUCUCUCUUCUUGCUGGUUUGGCGGACCAUGGGGUCGAAGAUGGGCUGGUUUUUGUGCCUUUUAAAAAGAAAAAAUAAUAAAUUAAUAAAGGCAUGACACGUGGCAUCAUGUCAUUGGCCCGUUUUU
rnacentral:lncRNA from 1 species